CCUACGGGAGACAGCAGUGGGGAAUAUUGCACAAUGGGGGAGACCCUGAUGCAGCGAAGCCGCGUGAGUGAAGAAGUAAUUCGGUAUGUAAAGCUCUAUCAGCAGGGAAGAAAAUGACGGUACCUGAGUAAGAAGCCCCGGCUAACUACGUGCCAGCAGCCGCGGGAAUACGUAGGGGGCAAGCGUUAUCCGGAUUUACUGGGGGUAAAGGGAGCGUAGACGGCAGGGCUAGUCUGGAGUGAAAGGUGGGGGCUCAACCCCCGGACUGCUCUGGAAACUGGCAGGCUGGAGUGCAGGAGAGGUAAGUGGAAUUCCUAGUGUAGCGGUGAAAUGCGUAGAUAUUAGGAGGAACACCAGUGGCGAAGGCGGCUUACUGGACCAUAACUGACGUUGAGGCUCGAAAGCGUGGGGAGCAAACAGGAUUAGAUACCCGAGUAGUC
rnacentral:rRNA from 1 species